GGUUAAGCGACUAAGCGUACACGGUGGAUGCCCUGGCAGUCAGAGGCGAUGAAGGACGUGCUAAUCUGCGAUAAGCGUCGGUAAGGUGAUAUGAACCGUUAUAACCGGCGAUUUCCGAAUGGGGAAACCCAGUGUGAUUCGUCACACUAUCAUUAACUGAAUCCAUAGGUUAAUGAGGCGAACCGGGGGAACUGAAACAUCUAAGUACCCCGAGGAAAAGAAAUCAACCGAGAUUCCCCCAGUAGCGGCGAGCGAACGGGGAGCAGCCCAGAGCCUGAAUCAGUGUGUGUGUUAGUGGAAGCGUCUGGAAAGGCGCGCGAUACAGGGUGACAGCCCCGUACACAAAAAUGCACAUACUGUGAGCUCGAUGAGUAGGGCGGGACACGUGGUAUCCUGUCUGAAUAUGGGGGGACCAUCCUCCAAGGCUAAAUACUCCUGACUGACCGAUAGUGAACCAGUACCGUGAGGGAAAGGCGAAAAGAACCCCGGCGAGGGGAGUGAAAAAGAACCUGAAACCGUGUACGUACAAGCAGUGGGAGCACGCUUCGGCGUGUGACUGCGUACCUUUUGUAUAAUGGGUCAGCGACUUAUAUUCUGUAGCAAGGUUAACCGAAUAGGGGAGCCGAAGGGAAACCGAGUCUUAACUGGGCGUUAAGUUGCAGGGUAUAGACCCGAAACCCGGUGAUCUAGCCAUGGGCAGGUUGAAGGUUGGGUAACACUAACUGGAGGACCGAACCGACUAAUGUUGAAAAAUUAGCGGAUGACUUGUGGCUGGGGGUGAAAGGCCAAUCAAACCGGGAGAUAGCUGGUUCUCCCCGAAAGCUAUUUAGGUAGCGCCUCGUGAAUUCAUCUCCGGGGGUAGAGCACUGUUUCGGCAAGGGGGUCAUCCCGACUUACCAACCCGAUGCAAACUGCGAAUACCGGAGAAUGUUAUCACGGGAGACACACGGCGGGUGCUAACGUCCGUCGUGAAGAGGGAAACAACCCAGACCGCCAGCUAAGGUCCCAAAGUCAUGGUUAAGUGGGAAACGAUGUGGGAAGGCCCAGACAGCCAGGAUGUUGGCUUAGAAGCAGCCAUCAUUUAAAGAAAGCGUAAUAGCUCACUGGUCGAGUCGGCCUGCGCGGAAGAUGUAACGGGGCUAAACCAUGCACCGAAGCUGCGGCAGCGACACUAUGUGUUGUUGGGUAGGGGAGCGUUCUGUAAGCCUGCGAAGGUGUACUGUGAGGUAUGCUGGAGGUAUCAGAAGUGCGAAUGCUGACAUAAGUAACGAUAAAGCGGGUGAAAAGCCCGCUCGCCGGAAGACCAAGGGUUCCUGUCCAACGUUAAUCGGGGCAGGGUGAGUCGACCCCUAAGGCGAGGCCGAAAGGCGUAGUCGAUGGGAAACAGGUUAAUAUUCCUGUACUUGGUGUUACUGCGAAGGGGGGACGGAGAAGGCUAUGUUGGCCGGGCGACGGUUGUCCCGGUUUAAGCGUGUAGGCUGGUUUUCCAGGCAAAUCCGGAAAAUCAAGGCUGAGGCGUGAUGACGAGGCACUACGGUGCUGAAGCAACAAAUGCCCUGCUUCCAGGAAAAGCCUCUAAGCAUCAGGUAACAUCAAAUCGUACCCCAAACCGACACAGGUGGUCAGGUAGAGAAUACCAAGGCGCUUGAGAGAACUCGGGUGAAGGAACUAGGCAAAAUGGUGCCGUAACUUCGGGAGAAGGCACGCUGAUAUGUAGGUGAAGUCCCUCGCGGAUGGAGCUGAAAUCAGUCGAAGAUACCAGCUGGCUGCAACUGUUUAUUAAAAACACAGCACUGUGCAAACACGAAAGUGGACGUAUACGGUGUGACGCCUGCCCGGUGCCGGAAGGUUAAUUGAUGGGGUUAGCGGUAACGCGAAGCUCUUGAUCGAAGCCCCGGUAAACGGCGGCCGUAACUAUAACGGUCCUAAGGUAGCGAAAUUCCUUGUCGGGUAAGUUCCGACCUGCACGAAUGGCGUAAUGAUGGCCAGGCUGUCUCCACCCGAGACUCAGUGAAAUUGAACUCGCUGUGAAGAUGCAGUGUACCCGCGGCAAGACGGAAAGACCCCGUGAACCUUUACUAUAGCUUGACACUGAACAUUGAGCCUUGAUGUGUAGGAUAGGUGGGAGGCUUUGAAGUGUGGACGCCAGUCUGCAUGGAGCCGACCUUGAAAUACCACCCUUUAAUGUUUGAUGUUCUAACGUUGGCCCCUGAUCGGGGUUGCGGACAGUGUCUGGUGGGUAGUUUGACUGGGGCGGUCUCCUCCUAAAGAGUAACGGAGGAGCACGAAGGUUGGCUAAUCCUGGUCGGACAUCAGGAGGUUAGUGCAAUGGCAUAAGCCAGCUUGACUGCGAGCGUGACGGCGCGAGCAGGUGCGAAAGCAGGUCAUAGUGAUCCGGUGGUUCUGAAUGGAAGGGCCAUCGCUCAACGGAUAAAAGGUACUCCGGGGAUAACAGGCUGAUACCGCCCAAGAGUUCAUAUCGACGGCGGUGUUUGGCACCUCGAUGUCGGCUCAUCACAUCCUGGGGCUGAAGUAGGUCCCAAGGGUAUGGCUGUUCGCCAUUUAAAGUGGUACGCGAGCUGGGUUUAGAACGUCGUGAGACAGUUCGGUCCCUAUCUGCCGUGGGCGCUGGAGAACUGAGGGGGGCUGCUCCUAGUACGAGAGGACCGGAGUGGACGCAUCACUGGUGUUCGGGUUGUCAUGCCAAUGGCACUGCCCGGUAGCUAAAUGCGGAAGAGAUAAGUGCUGAAAGCAUCUAAGCACGAAACUUGCCCCGAGAUGAGUUCUCCCUGACUCCUUGAGAGUCCUGAAGGAACGUUGAAGACGACGACGUUGAUAGGCCGGGUGUGUAAGCGCAGCGAUGCGUUGAGCUAACCGGUACUAAUGAACCGUGAGGCUUAACCUU
rnacentral:rRNA from 1 species